rnacentral:rRNA from 2 species
UAGUAACGGCGAGUGAAGCGGUAACAGCUCAAAUUUGAAAUCUGGCUCCCUGCGGAGUCCGAGUUGUAAUUUGUAGAAGAUGCUUUGGGUGCACGAUCCGGCCUAAGUGCCUUGGAACAGGACGUCGUAGAGGGUGAGAAUCCCGUAUGCGGCCGGUUUCGACGCCCGUGUAAAGCUCUUUCGACGAGUCGAGUUGUUUGGGAAUGCAGCUCAAAAUGGGUGGUAAAUUUCAUCUAAAGCUAAAUAUGGGCCAGAGACCGAUAGCGCACAAGUAGAGUGAUCGAAAGAUGAAAAGCACUUUGGAAAGAGAGUUAAACAGUACGUGAAAUUGUUGAAAGGGAAGCGCUUGCAACCAGACUUGGGCGUCGCUGAUCAUCCAAAGUUCUCUUUGGUGCACUCGACGACGCACAGGCCAGCAUCGGUUGGGGUGGUGGGAGAAAGACUGCAGGAACGUAGCUCUUUUCGGAGAGUGUUAUAGCCUGCGGUGCAAUACCGCCUACCUCGACCGAGGACCGCGCUUCGGCUAGGAUGCUGGCGUAAUGGUUGUAAGCGACCCGUCUUGAAACACGGACCAAGGAGUCUAACAUCUAUGCGAGUGUUUGGGUGCGAAACCCAUGCGCGAAAUGAAAGUGAACGUAGGUGAGAACCCUUUAAGGGGGCAUCAUCGACCGAUCCUGAUGUCUUCGGAUGGAUUUGAGUAAGAGCAUAGCUGUUGGGA